rnacentral:rRNA from 1 species
GGAAGGUGGGGACGACGUCAAGUCAUCAUGGCCCUUACGAGUAGGGCUACACACGUGCUACAAUGGCGUAUACAGAGGGCAGCGAUACCGCGAGGUGGAGCGAAUCUCACAAAGUACGUCGUAGUCCGGAUUGGAGUCUGCAACUCGACUCCAUGAAGUCGGAAUCGCUAGUAAUCGCAAAUCAGAAUGUUGCGGUGAAUACGUUCCCGGGCCUUGUACACACCGCCCGUCACACCAUGGGAG